rnacentral:tRNA from 1 species
UUCCUGGUAGCUCAUACAGUAAAGAAUCCACCUUCAAUGUGGAAGACCUAGGUUCGAAACCUGGUUGGGAAG